rnacentral:lncRNA from 1 species
UUUUUCUAAUUUCCUCCACAAAAAUAAGACAAAUUUGUCAAACUCUUUAAGUACUUAGUGCAUUAAUUUCGUUAGUGCAAAAUGCAGUCAAUCACUAAGUUUGUUGUGUACUAGAAGUUGUUUUGCGACUCUUUUACACACCAAAGUAGUAGGGGUAAAUUAAAGUUUAGGGAAAUUGGUAUUGUAACGCGCCUUGGAGCAAUCUUCCAGUCCAUUUGGAACGAUCUCUGGCCGGAGUUGUCGAUCAAGAUAGAGCUUCAAACCCUCUAGUAGGGCAAGCGCCACACCCUCCAUGUUAAGCCAUCAAUAAAAUUGCCUAAAUAUCGCGAAUAAUGCUUCCUCCGCCAGAGAACCCCGGAUUACCUAAAGAAAAUAAUCCACGUUAAGUUUAUAGCGAGAGGCCUGAAAACAUUGCCAUGAAAUUGGAACUGGUAUCCGGACUUCCCUUUGAAUGAAAAUAAUCCCUUUGAUGUUAUUCCAUGUAUGCAACGUUUAUGCCUGAAACUUUGGUUCAUAAAGACGGAUUCCUCGCUCUUCAAAUCGUCCAACAUAUGAGGCACGGUAAAAUCCAUAACAGUUUCCUUUACCUGAAGUAAGAAACUUAUUUUGCGAGGUAUAUCAAAUGAGGUUCGAUUUUGGAGAAAAAUAUAGAUAUGAUCAUUAGGCAACCAACAUACGGAUGUAAAUAGUAUAACACUACUAACUUUAGUCAUGCAUCCUGAAAUCGAACUACAUAAUUGAAAAUAAAAGUACACGACUUUUAUCUUUAAAAAGUGAUUAUGUAGUUUUACUUAUCUAUUUGUUAAACCAUUUAUACAAAUUUAUGAAAAUCUAUGCACAAAAACAUUUUGUCGAUGGCAGUAUGCACUAUUUAUCAUGUACAAUUAAUGGAAACGUUAAUACGGCUGACCGCGUGAUUGGCGAACCAGAGGAAGAGCUGG